CACUGGGACUGAGACACGGCCCAGACUCCUACGGGAGGGAGCAGUGGGGAAUUUUGGACAAUGGGGGAAACCCUGAUCCAGCAAUGCCGCGUCUGUGAAGAAGGCCUUCGGGUUGUAAAGCACUUUUGUCCGGAAAGAAAACUUCUGCCCUAAUACGGCGGGAGGAUGACGGUACCGGAAGAAUAAGCACCGGCUAACUACGUGCCAGCAGCCCCGGUAAUACAUAGGGUGCGAGCGUUAAUCGGAAUUACUGGGCGUAAAGCGUGCGCAGGCGGUUCGUUAAGACAGAUGUGAAAUCCCCGGGCUUACCCUGGGAACUGCAUUUGUGACUGGCGAGCUAGAGUAUGGCAGAGGCGGGUAGAAUUCCACGUGUAGCAGUGAAAUGGGUAGAGAUGUGGAGGAAUACCGAUGGCGAAGGCAGCCCCCUGGGCCAAUACUGACGCUCAUGCACGAAAGCGUGGGGAGCAAACAGGAUUAGAUACCCUGGUAGUCCACGCCCUAAACGAUGUCAACUAGUUGUUGGGGAUUCAUUUCCUUAGUAACGUAGCUAACGCGUGAAGUUGACCCCCUGGGGAGUACGGUCGCAAGAUUAAAACUCAAAGGAAUUGACGGGGACCCGCACAGGCGGUGGAUGAUGUGGAUUAAUUCGAUGCAAGGCGAAAAACCCUACCUACCCUUGACAUGGUCGGAACCCUGCUGAAAGGUGGGGGUGCUCGAGAGAGAACCGAUACACAGGUGCUUC
rnacentral:rRNA from 1 species